AGAACCCUGUCUUGGGGUGUGGAUCAGACCCCUUUCCAGUAACUCCUUUGGAGGGAGUAUGGCCCUGCUAGCACGUUCCAUCCUCCAGAAUGAGAGAGAAUAAAUUUCUAUUGUUUCAAGUGAACAAAUUUAUGUUUAUUUCUUACUGCAGGUAUAGGAAGCUAAUAGCUAAAAAGCACCCAACACAAUUGUUGAAAACUUCACCCUUUAUUUAUGUUUAUCUACAUCUAUCAAAUAUCUGGUGUCCUUGUAAGCACGAAUCUGUCUUUGCUCUGUCCAGCACUGCCUAGCCUGCCUGUCUCAUCUAAGGAUGAUAAAAGGAAAUGCUAUUAACCAUCUAAGAAUGCCGACUACCAUGAGAUCACCAAGCUGGAGAGGCCACGUGUAGAUGAACUAUUAAAUAGCUCCAAUUGAGUUCCCAGCUGUCAUCUAGCCUCAGCUGCCAGCCACUUGAGUGGGCCAUCUUGGAGGCCAGCCCACUUGGGCUUUCAGAUAACUGUAGCCUCAUCCAACAUCUGAAACAUGAAAGUCCAAGUAAGAACCACCCAGUCAAUCCAAUCCAGGAUUCCUCACUCACCAAAUAGUGAGCAAGAUAAAAUAGUUGUUUUCAGCUGCUAAAUUUUGAGGUGAUUUGUUUUGCCACAAUAGUAAUCUGAACAAGUGGCAUGUUCUAACAGCUUUUAUAUCACUGUGGAUAAAAUUUGUC
rnacentral:lncRNA from 1 species